rnacentral:rRNA from 1 species
UUAAGCGACUAAGCGUACACGGUGGAUGCCCUGGCAGUCAGAGGCGAUGAAGGACGUGCUAAUCUGCGAUAAGCGUCGGUGAGGUGAUAUGAACCGUUAUAACCGGCGAUUUCCGAAUGGGGAAACCCAGUGUGUUUCGACACACUAUCAUUAACUGAAUCCAUAGGUUAAUGAGGCGAACCGGGGGAACUGAAACAUCUAAGUACCCCGAGGAAAAGAAAUCAACCGAGAUUCCCCCAGUAGCGGCGAGCGAACGGGGAGGAGCCCAGAGCCUGAAUCAGUGUGUGUGUUAGUGGAAGCGUCUGGAAAGGCGUGCGAUACAGGGUGACAGCCCCGUACACAAAAAUGCACAUAUUGUGAGCUCGAUGAGUAGGGCGGGACACGUGGUAUCCUGUCUGAAUAUGGGGGGACCAUCCUCCAAGGCUAAAUACUCCUGACUGACCGAUAGUGAACCAGUACCGUGAGGGAAAGGCGAAAAGAACCCCGGCGAGGGGAGUGAAAAAGAACCUGAAACCGUGUACGUACAAGCAGUGGGAGCCUCUUAAUGGGGUGACUGCGUACCUUUUGUAUAAUGGGUCAGCGACUUAUAUUCUGUAGCAAGGUUAACCGAAUAGGGGAGCCGAAGGGAAACCGAGUCUUAACUGGGCGUUAAGUUGCAGGGUAUAGACCCGAAACCCGGUGAUCUAGCCAUGGGCAGGUUGAAGGUUGGGUAACACUAACUGGAGGACCGAACCGACUAAUGUUGAAAAAUUAGCGGAUGACUUGUGGCUGGGGGUGAAAGGCCAAUCAAACCGGGAGAUAGCUGGUUCUCCCCGAAAGCUAUUUAGGUAGCGCCUCGUGAAUUCAUCUCCGGGGGUAGAGCACUGUUUCGGCAAGGGGGUCAUCCCGACUUACCAACCCGAUGCAAACUGCGAAUACCGGAGAAUGUUAUCACGGGAGACACACGGCGGGUGCUAACGUCCGUCGUGAAGAGGGAAACAACCCAGACCGCCAGCUAAGGUCCCAAAGUCAUGGUUAAGUGGGAAACGAUGUGGGAAGGCCCAGACAGCCAGGAUGUUGGCUUAGAAGCAGCCAUCAUUUAAAGAAAGCGUAAUAGCUCACUGGUCGAGUCGGCCUGCGCGGAAGAUGUAACGGGGCUAAACCAUGCACCGAAGCUGCGGCAGCGACACUAUGUGUUGUUGGGUAGGGGAGCGUUCUGUAAGCCUGUGAAGGUGGCCUGUGAGGGUUGCUGGAGGUAUCAGAAGUGCGAAUGCUGACAUAAGUAACGAUAAAGCGGGUGAAAAGCCCGCUCGCCGGAAGACCAAGGGUUCCUGUCCAACGUUAAUCGGGGCAGGGUGAGUCGACCCCUAAGGCGAGGCCGAAAGGCGUAGUCGAUGGGAAACAGGUUAAUAUUCCUGUACUUGGUGUUACUGCGAAGGGGGGACGGAGAAGGCUAUGUUGGCCGGGCGACGGUUGUCCCGGUUUAAGCGUGUAGGCUGGUUUUCCAGGCAAAUCCGGAAAACCAAGGCUGAGGCGUGAUGACGAGGCACUACGGUGCUGAAGUGACAAAUGCCCUGCUUCCAGGAAAAGCCUCUAAGCAUCAGGUAACAUCAAAUCGUACCCNAAACCGACACAGGUGGUCAGGUAGAGAAUACCAAGGCGCUUGAGAGAACUCGGGUGAAGGAACUAGGCAAAAUGGUGCCGUAACUUCGGGAGAAGGCACGCUGAUAUGUAGGUGAAGCGACUUGCUCGUGGAGCUGAAAUCAGUCGAAGAUACCAGCUGGCUGCAACUGUUUAUUAAAAACACAGCACUGUGCAAACACGAAAGUGGACGUAUACGGUGUGACGCCUGCCCGGUGCCGGAAGGUUAAUUGAUGGGGUUAGCGGCAACGCGAAGCUCUUGAUCGAAGCCCCGGUAAACGGCGGCCGUAACUAUAACGGUCCUAAGGUAGCGAAAUUCCUUGUCGGGUAAGUUCCGACCUGCACGAAUGGCGUAAUGAUGGCCAGGCUGUCUCCACCCGAGACUCAGUGAAAUUGAACUCGCUGUGAAGAUGCAGUGUACCCGCGGCAAGACGGAAAGACCCCGUGAACCUUUACUAUAGCUUGACACUGAACAUUGAGCCUUGAUGUGUAGGAUAGGUGGGAGGCUUUGAAGUGUGGACGCCAGUCUGCAUGGAGCCGACCUUGAAAUACCACCCUUUAAUGUUUGAUGUUCUAACGUUGGCCCGUAAUCCGGGUUGCGGACAGUGUCUGGUGGGUAGUUUGACUGGGGCGGUCUCCUCCUAAAGAGUAACGGAGGAGCACGAAGGUUGGCUAAUCCUGGUCGGACAUCAGGAGGUUAGUGCAAUGGCAUAAGCCAGCUUGACUGCGAGCGUGACGGCGCGAGCAGGUGCGAAAGCAGGUCAUAGUGAUCCGGUGGUUCUGAAUGGAAGGGCCAUCGCUCAACGGAUAAAAGGUACUCCGGGGAUAACAGGCUGAUACCGCCCAAGAGUUCAUAUCGACGGCGGUGUUUGGCACCUCGAUGUCGGCUCAUCACAUCCUGGGGCUGAAGUAGGUCCCAAGGGUAUGGCUGUUCGCCAUUUAAAGUGGUACGCGAGCUGGGUUUAGAACGUCGUGAGACAGUUCGGUCCCUAUCUGCCGUGGGCGCUGGAGAACUGAGGGGGGCUGCUCCUAGUACGAGAGGACCGGAGUGGACGCAUCACUGGUGUUCGGGUUGUCAUGCCAAUGGCACUGCCCGGUAGCUAAAUGCGGAAGAGAUAAGUGCUGAAAGCAUCUAAGCACGAAACUUGCCCCGAGAUGAGUUCUCCCUGACUCCUUGAGGGUCCUGAAGGAACGUUGAAGACGACGACGUUGAUAGGCCGGGUGUGUAAGCGCAGCGAUGCGUUGAGCUAACCGGUACUAAUGAACCGUGAGGCUUAACCUU